rnacentral:rRNA from 1 species
UACGAAGGGGGCUAGCGUUGCUCGGAAUCACUGGGCGUAAAGCGCACGUAGGCGGCUUUUUAAGUCAGAGGUGAAAUCCUGGAGCUCAACUCCAGAACUGCCUUUGAUACUGGAGAGCUUGAGUCCGGGAGAGGUGAGUGGAACUGCGAGUGUAGAGGUGAAAUGCGUAGAGAUCCGGAGGAACACCAAAGGCGAAGGCAGUGUCCUGGGGAGUACCUGACGCUCAGGUGCGAAAGCCAGGGGAGCGAACGGG